rnacentral:misc_RNA from 1 species
UUUCCGUAGGUGAACCUGCGGAAGGAUCAUUAUUGUAUUAUGAAACUUCAGGGUGCUUCUGUCUCUCCACGGGGCGCGUAUGCACGAUUGUUGUCACUUAUUUCUACCACUCUCCACAGAUUACAGACCCUUCAGUCGCCCUAUGUUGUGUUUCACAAGCUGUGAAUGUAUUAGCAUGGUUUUGAAUCUUGGUAAAUACAGUACAACUUUCAUCAGCGAAUCUCUUGGCUCUCGCACCUAUAAAGAACGCAGCAGAUCGGAGAGCACCCGUCAGAACUC